UCACUAAAUUAAGCAUAUAGUAAGUGGUGGAAAUUAAACCAACUGGGAUCUCUUCAGUAAUUGCGCAUGAACCAGGAUAUGCUUAGCUUGACAAAUGGAGCUGCUGGCUCUGAAUUGUAUUGUGGGAAUGUAUUACCAACAGAGGUGCAGGUGUCAGCCAUUUGAAAGAAAGCAUCAAUGAGGGUGAGAGUCCUGUUUGUCAUGUGCAGCCUUCUGUGCACGGUGUAUAUUUGCUGACGCUCACACUCCUUGGCAUUGGAAUCGCAAAGUGGGUGGUAAGUUUCAUGCAAAGUGUAAAUAUGCAAUUGAGACUGAUAGCGCACAAGUACCAUGAGGGACAUAUGAAAAGGACUUUGAACAGAGAAUUAAAUGAGUUUGUAUUUGCUAAACACAAAGUAAACAGACUUGAUUUCCUCAGUGAGAUUGUAGUGCUUGCUUAACAAUGGGUUUUGGCUGCAAGUGCAAUAAUUCUUGCUUUGUGUGCCAGUUUUUAUGUGGACAUUUGAUUACCUUUGCACAUGAAUGGUAAUUUUCCUGCGGGGUGUGGAUUGCAUAUGCAUGUAAUGAUUUGCAUGUUUGUUAAAUGUGUCUGGUGUAUUUGUUUGUGUCCUUGUCCUUGAGGUUGCUUUCUCCCUUGGGCUUACAUGCCCUGGCACACACAUUCUGGCAAAAUCGCUUCUGCUUGCCCGUCUUGAACACGGCCCAGUUUGAGGCAACUCAGGGCAUGGCAAAACAUUGCACCGGCACAUUGACAAGAUCAAAACUUGCAGGAUGGGAAUCACACCGGAGGGAAUACCCUCAUCGUCAAGUGAGCAAAGGCCAUAAUCUGGCUC
rnacentral:rRNA from 1 species